rnacentral:rRNA from 1 species
CAAUAGCGUAUAUUAAAGUUGUUGCAGUUAAAAAGCUCGUAGUUGGAUUUCUGGUGGGAGCACGGGUCGGCCCUCACGGGUUGUACUGUUGUUGCGUCCCGCCGUUUCGGUGUGCACUGGCAGGCGGCAUCUUUCUGUCGAGGACGCGCUCCUGGUCUUUAUUUGAUCGGGACGCGGAGUCGGCGCAGUUACUUUGAAAAAUUAGAGUGUUCAAAGCGGGCCUACGCUUGAAUAUAUUAGCAUGGAAUAACACCAUAGGACUCCUGUCCUAUUCUGUUGGUCUUCGGGAUGGGAGUAAUGAUUAAGAGGAACAGUUGGGGGCAUUCGUAUUUCAUUGUCAGAGGUGAAAUUCUUGGAUUUAUGAAAGACGAACUUCUGCGAAAGCAUUUGCCAAGGAUGUUUUCAUUAAUCAAGAACGAAAGUUGGGGGCUCGAAGACGAUUAGAUACCGU